rnacentral:rRNA from 1 species
UACGGAGGUGGCAAGCGUUGCUCGGAAUCACUGGGCGUAAAGGGCGCGUAGGCGGGGAGGUAAGUCGGGUGUGAAAUCCCUCGGCCCAACCGAGGAACUGCGCCCGAGACUGCUUCUCUUGAGUCCCGGAGAGGAAGAUGGAAUUCCCGGUGUAGCGGUGAAAUGUGUAGAGAUCGGGAGGAAUACCGGUGGCGAAGGCGGUCUUCUGGACGGUGACUGACGCUGAGGCGCGAAAGCGUGGGGAGCAAACGGG